rnacentral:rRNA from 1 species
GACGAACGCUGGCGGCGUGCCUAACACAUGCAAGUCGAACGGAACUCGGGACUUCGGUUCUGAGUUUAGUGGCGAACGGGUGAGUAACGCGUGAGGAACCUGCCUUUCAGUGGGGGACAACAGUUGGAAACGACUGAUAAUACCGAAUAAGAUAUAAUUGUUAUGAUUAUAUUGAAAGAAGCCUUUAAAGCUUCACUUAAAGAUGGGCCUGCGGCGUAUUAACUAGUUGGUGGGGUAACGGCCCACCAAGUCGACGAUCGGUAGCCGAACUGAGAGGUUGAUCGGCCGCAUUGGGACUGAGACACGGCCCAGACUCCUACGGGAGGCAGCAGUGGGGGAUAUUGCACAAUGGGGGAAACCCUGAUGCAGCAACGCCGCGUGAGGGAAGAAGGUCUUCGGAUUGUAAACCUAAGUUGUCAGGGACGAACAAAUGACGGUACCUGAAAAGAAAGCUCCGGCUAACUACGUG